AGGGUAAACGCUGGCGGCGUGUUUUAGGCAUGCAAGUCGAGCGAGAAGCAUUCCGACUUGUCGGAGUGUGGACAGCGGCAAACGGCUGAGUAACACGUGAGUAACCUGCCCUUCGGUGGGGAAUAACCCGUUGAAAGACGGACUAAUACCGCAUAAGUUGCCCCGGUUCAUACUGGGGUAGGAAAGGUCUUCGGACCGCCGUUGGAGGGGCUCGCGGCCUAUCAGGUAGUUGGUUGAGGUAACGGCUCACCAAGCCUAUGACGGGUAACUGGUCUGAGAGGACGAUCAGUCAGAGGGGGACUGAGACACGGCCCCCACUCCUACGGGAGGCAGCAGCUUAGAAUCUUGGGCAAUGGGCGAAAGCCUGACCCAGCGACGUCGCGUGGGGGAUGAAGGCCUAUGGGUCGUAAACCCCUUUUGUGAGGGAAGAGAUAGGACGGUACCUCACGAAUAAGGCCCGGCUAACUACGUGCCAGCAGCCGCGGUGAUACGUAGGGGCCGAGCGUUACCCGGAUUUACUGGGCGUAAAGGGCAUGUAGGCGGCACAGCAAGCCUUUCGUGAAAUCUCCCGGCUUAACUGGGAGGCUGCGGGGGAAACUGUUGAGCUUGAGGACAGGAGAGGGGGGCGGAAUUCCCGGUGUAGCGGUGACAUGCGUAGAUAUCGGGAGGAACACCCGUGGCGAAGGCGGCCCUCUGGCCUGCUCCUGACGCUGAGGUGCGAAAGCUUGGGUAGCGAACCGAAUUAGAUACUCGGGUAGUCCAAGCCCUAAACGAUGUGUGCUGGGUAUGGGGAGUAUCGACCCUCUCCGUGCCGAAGCUAACGCGUUAAGCACACCGCCUGGGGUGUACGGUCGCAAGGCUAAAACUCAAAGGAAUUGACGGGUCCCCGCACAAGCGGUGGAGCGUGUGGUUUAAUUC
rnacentral:rRNA from 1 species